ACGCCCAGUAGCGCAUUGGAUAGCGCGUUGGAUUUCAAAUCCAAAGGCCGUGGGUUCAAAUCCUUCCUGGCAUG